rnacentral:lncRNA from 1 species
GGGGGUCUGCUGGUACUCGGGCGAUCAAGGGCGCAGCAGCAGCGGAGGUGCGGCGAAGCAGGAGCAGCUUCGCGAGUUGCAGGCAGAUCGACGGUAGUAGAGCUUCGGCUCCGAAUAGCAGGUGGAUCGCGGUUCAGGCGAGGCCGAGGAGCCGUUGGGCAGCAACAACUCGUCGGGAUCGUGGGUAGGCACGGCACGAAUGGGAGAGCUCGGACGGACACCGGCGGGGCUUCGAGCGAGGCGGUCGCGGCUGGCCUCGGCUUCCAGGCGGCGUCGGCGUGGCGAGACAGCAGCGUCCGGCGGACAACGUCGGUGACCGGUCGGGAUGCUGGCAGAGCGGCGGUGGGCGCGGGGGUCUUCACGGAUGGAAGCUGCAGAAGGAGGCGAGCGGCGAGG